rnacentral:rRNA from 1 species
AUUUUGUUUAAUGAUAUCUUUCUUAUUAUUAUACGCUGUAUAAGUUUUUAUAAUAAUAAAAAAUAUCAAAUUUAUUAAAAUAAUACAUUAAAAAUAUUAUAAUUUAUUCAUUGUUUAUCUUAUCAAAGAGUUAGUAUAAUAUUUACCCUUAUCUUUUAGAUAAAGUAUAUUAUUAUUUAUUUACCCCCCUUUCCUUAGGAAAGGGGGUACAGAGUAAAUAUAUUCUAUCUUAUAAAAUAAAUAUACAUUAUUCCUAUAUACAUUAUUUAAUAAUAUAUAUAUUAUUUAUUUCUUUAAGUGAUAAUAUUUAAGGAUAUCAUUCUUAUUAUUUAUCCUACCCCCCCCCCCUUUACGGUGUAAAGUAUCCUUCUCUUAAAUAAAAGGAUAUAAAGAGUAAAGGGGGAAAUAUAAUAAAGGAGAGAUAUUGAAAAAAGGUAUAUGAAAUAAAUAUUAUUUUAAGGAAAUUAAUACUAAUAUUUAAAGUUGACAAAGAGGUUUAGAAAUAAACCAAUCAAAUCAUGAAAAUGAGAAAGAGAAAUCAAGUGGAAUGAAACAUCUGAGUAGCUUGAAAGUAACCAACAGGGGCAAUAUAAGUAACGGUGAGUGAAAGUAUUGUAGUUUAAAAGUAUCAUCAAGAGGUGAGAAUAAAGUAGUUUCUACUACUAAAACAUUAAAUAAAUAUUAAGUAAAAGUACCGUGAGGGAAAAAUAAGAAAUAGAAUAAUAAAGAGCAGUCAUAGUAUGGCGUACCUCUUGUAUAAUGGGCCAGUGAGUUAUAUAUAUAAGCGAAAUAAUUUAUAAAUAAAUUGAGACUAAUCAAUCUAUAAAGUUUAUAUGUAUAGGCCCGAAAGCAGACGAUCUACAUAUGUCCAAGUAUCUUUUUUAUAUAAUAUAAUAUAAUAUAUAAAAAAAUGACUCAAUAGGUAGAUGUUGCAAUAUCUUCUAAAGAGAUGUGUGUAGAAGUGACAGACAAAUCUGGUUUGCCGAUAGCUGGUUUUCUGCGAAAUAUAUUUUAGUAUAGCCUUUAUAAAAAUAAUAACUGGUACAGCACUUAAUUUAUUUUGGGGAAUUAAUUAAUUUUAUCAAAAGAAUUUAAUCUCGGAAACAGUAAACUAUAUUAUAAGGAGUCAGACUUAUUGCGAUAAGGUAGUAGGUCGAGAAGGAAACAACCUAGACUAUUAAAUGUAUGUCCCAUAAGAUAUCUUAAGUGAAUAUAAUCUUUAUGUUUUAUAAGACAAUCAGUCAGCGGGUUUGACAAUAAUCAUCUGUUAAUGGACAUGUAACAAUGCACUGAUUUGAUAUUAUAUUUAGAAAAAAUAUACGGGUCUAAAGAUAUUACAGAAUUAUAGAUAAUAUAUAUAAUAUAUAUAAUUAUAGUAGCAGAAUAUAUGAUAAUAUAUUUAUAUAGAAUAAAUAAGAAUCAUAAAGAGAAUGCUGGCUUGAGUAACGAUAGGUAAUAUAAGAUUACCCUCCAAUUCAUAAGGUUUUAUAAUAAACGAACGGUCCCUAAGAUAUUAAUAGAAAUAUUAAAUUGAUGGGAAAUAAUACAAGAAAAGAUAAAUGAACCGUACUGUAAACCGACACAGGUAUGAUAAAUAUAUAUAAAAAUAUAUAUAGGAGAAUGAGAUAACUAUUGUGAAUGAACUCGGCAAAAAAGUAAAACAACUUUAAGUCGUGCGACUGUUUACCAAAAACAUAGCUUACUGCAUAUUAGAAAUAAUUAGUAUAGUAAGUGAUAUCUGCCCAGUGUAAGUCUAUAUAAAUAAAAUAUAUAUUAUGUAUAUUAACAAAAGGCUUAUAAACGGCGGUCUUAUUAUGAGGAUCCGAAGGUAGCGAAAUUCAUUGGCGCAUAAUUGGUGUCCCGCAUGAAUGAUUACACGAUGCGACAACUGUAUCCACAAUAGACUCAGUGAAAUAGCACUCGCGGUGAAGAUGCCGUGUACCCGUAGAUUGACAAAAAGACCCUAUGCAGCUUUACUAUAUCUUUGUAUUGAUUUCUUUAUUUAUUUAUUUCAGUAGAUUAGGUUUUUUUAUUAUAAAAUAAAUGAGAUACCUAUAUUUAUAAAUAAAGUUUCUUAUCUAUUUUCUUUUGUCUUUUAGACAAAUGAUAUUGAGACAGUAUAAAGAAGUUAGUUUCGAUGGGGCGUCGACAUCAGCGAAAGCAUCUGAUGUGUCUAAAAUAUAAUUAUUAUUUCUAUAACUUUUAUUAAAAGUUUUAUUAGUAAAUUACGUACAAUAAAUCUAUAUGGCAAAUAGAAAUUAAAUAUAUUAAAUAUUUAUCCUUAGGGAUAUAUUAAAUAUAUAUAUAUGUAAGGAUAACAACAUAAUUGUGCGAUGAUAAUAACACUAACAAGUGGAAUUAGUACUUACGUAGAGUGUAAUGAACAGGCAUAUUCUUUAGAUAAGGAUGUCGAUAACGGAUUAAAGUUACGCUAGGGAUAACAGGGUAAUACCGCUAGAGAGUUGAUAUCGUCAGCGGUGUUUGCCACCUCGAUUAAUUAACGAUAGUUGAGGUUAAAUUGGGUUAAUUGCAAGGAAGUCUAAGGAUUUAGGUCUAUGAUAAUUUGCAGCGAAGUAUAUUUUAUACUUAAUAUAUUUUUAUAUUAAAGGAAUAUAAACGUUCAACGACUAGAGAGUGAGUAGUAUAACAAUAACCUCUCCACGAAAGCCCAAAAGUGUUAUACUUUUUAGUUAAAUUUAUAUGGUUUUUUUAUGUUUAAAUGUAAAAUAUUAUCAAAUGAAUUAAAUACUAAAUUUAAAUUUAAUUCAAAGUUAAUAUAGCUCGAAAGAGCAAUAAUAAAAUCUAUUAUAAAAUAGUGUUAUCUUCAAAAGAUACAAUUAAUUUAGGAAACAUAAUUAAACCAUAUAUAAUUACACAUUUUAACUAUA